rnacentral:misc_RNA from 1 species
AAAAGAAUGCUUCUUUCCCUCUCGUAUGCAGGGCUGUUUUUGUCAGAAAACCAGGGAGCUGGAAAGUGGUCACCAACUUUUCUUUCAAUAGUGUGUUUGGGAGGCUAGAAACUUAGGUAUGCAAAAGUAGUAAAUUUGGACUAGACAAUUAAUUAACCUAAUAAAAGCAAUAUCCCCUCUUUUUUCAGGAAAAAAGAAAAACAAAAGCUGCAAAUAUUUGCAGAGCCCAGACAUCCUUUUUCAGUGAAAAAGCAAACCAAGUAAUUUGCUAUUCUGUUAUUAAUCCGCGU